CUACUUCUCUUCACUGCCCCGUUCUGUAACUUCCCUUCUUUAGUCCGUCCACGAGGCUAUAAAAAGAGAGAGAGGGGCGGCUAUAUAGCGGGAGUCGUUUCGGUUGUAUGCCACGAGGUCCCUAUGGACAAGGGGACAAGUGAAUCAUCGCUUUUGGGCGCAGGCAGCCCUCUACCAUCCAUCCCAUAGCAUUCCAUCGUCUCGUAUUGUACUGUACCGUACCAGAUACAUCUAUUGAGUGAGAGAAAGGUAGCUUCUCUAUACAUAUAUUAUUAUUUUUUGAUAUUGAUAGGGAUCCCCAGAUUCCCGUCACUACGGAUUUAUUGUCUCUACCUAACUACAUGGUAGUGGUCUAGGGAGCGCAAUUGCUAGAGCACGGGAGAAUGAAGAGUAAUGAUUUCAGCAAGAGCAGCCGGACGAACUACUAUAGUGAGUCCAGUGACUACUAGAGUAGAGUUGAGUCAAAAGGUACGGUAUAGCAGCCUUUCCAAGCGAGCCUCUGGGAUCUCCUAUAAACCCCCAUGAUGUGGUGGAGGAUAUUAGGGGAAACAGUGAGUGGAGAUUCCCCUGCAGAGAGCCGGAUGAGGGGAGACCUUCACGUCUGGUUCGAAGGGCGGAGAUCUCCCGACCUUACUAUCAUUAUGCCUUUGCAAUGUUACUUGGUUCAACUCUAUUUGUGACAUUUUAUCGUAUGUGGGACUCUCUAUCUUCUUGGGUAGAUAAUCGAUCGUCUUUCAUUUAGAUAGUUAGUAGUAUUUAUUAUUAUAAGUCAAUAAACAAUAAUAAAUAAUAAUCGAACUGGAGGAGCUAAAAGCCGUGAUGGCUUGGUAAGCAAGCUACCUGUUAUGUAGGCGCCAACUCCCAUUUCUUUCUCUUCUUUCUUUUUGAAAGUCACGAUCAGAAUGAAAGGUAGUUCGCCGGGCCUGUAUUUUGAUCCCAGAGGUGCUGGUUCGACUCCAGCUCGUGAGAAGGCUUUUUUUUAAUAUCGCUUUGUCUCGCUUGUUCUUAUUCAGUUCCUUUGUCCUUCCAUCACUCAACUAUUUGUUGAACAUAGAAUUCGCCCGAUAUAAGAUUAGUACCAACUGGGAUCACAAAGCGGAUUGGGCUAACGGAAAGGGAGGAGUCAGUCGUUCUGCCAUCGAUUACAGGCAAACCUUUCCCGAGCUACAGCCCUCACUGUUGAUUCAAGACACAACUACUUGUACCACAACCACUGUCAUAUGCGGUAUGCGGGUGUCAGGUCUAGGUCUAUAUGGAGGUUCUCGUUCCAGUUCUAUUUCUAGUUGAAAACAACAAAUUAAAAAAAAAAAUCACUAAGUGGAUACCUCGAGAACUAAAGGUGCCAAGCCUCAUAUUCUACUUGAAACGAGGAUAAGGCUUCCAGCUAGAUAUGUAUGAUUCACCCGGUACCUAGUAUUGGUAGUAGGGUCAGUCUAUUUCCCCUCCCUCUGUAUGAGUUGAGAGGCUGAGGGGAAGUCUACUAACUAUAGGGCUACUCCACCUGAUGAUUGUUGUCUUCUUUCAAUAAUGCUUUGUUGGUCACCGCUGCGAGGCAUCGCCUGUUGUACAGUUGCUUUAGCCCAUUCACUCCUUUUUUAUUUCCCUUGAGAAUGAAAAGUCCUCAUCCUCACCCGCAGCAAGCACUUUUUCUUUGUUUGUUCUUAGUGCGAGUUCAGUGCUUCUUAGAUUCAUAGUGGGACCCGCUGUUCAUUAAUAGGGGUUAUUCCCUUUCUAUCUAUUAGGAACUACUUGUAGAAGAAAGAAGAUCAGGCAGUUUACUGCUAAAUGGGGCUAGGAACUCCGGGCCGAAAGGCGAAUAGACGACCUACUAAGACAGAUCGUUAGUGGUUUGCCCAGGACUGAGACCGACAGACUGCUUUCAACUGCUUUUCUAGGGGUGGAAUUAACCUUUACUGCACUGCUAGCGUUUUAGAGCUUGAAAUAACUAGCACUCAUACGGAUUGGGCUUAAACCGUGCUACUAGGCUUAAAAGAAAAGCUUUCACUCUCCCCCCCGAACUGCCCUAUUACACCUAGGCUCAUAUGCUCUUCAAAAGGAAAAUAGGUUUACUUUAUUUCAUUUUGGUUAUGGAAAGUUAAAGUAGUCAAGUUGACUCUAAUCGCGUACGCCGAGCUUCGAUGGAUUGUUGUGUUAAGUCUCUUUUGUGAGAUAACAGAGACAAGGAACCACAGCCCCUUCGGGUAGGGCAUAGGUGGCUACGGCGGAAAAACCCUGGAUCUACAAGACUUACUUCACGCUCUCUAGAAGCUCACUGCAGAGGAAGGUAAAGUUAUUCUUCCUAGAACAAAAAAUAAAAGAAAAUAAAGAUCUUGUUCACCGAAAGAUAGGCAAUUUAUUUACUUCAAGAGCGGAAGGGAAUACUUAACCACGCCUCGAGUCCCAGUCUCCUAGUGGUGGGAUGGUAAAGGGCAAUGUCCGGUUCUGGCCAAGAGAUGUCUUUGCUCCGUCCCCCUUCUUGUUGGUUGGCACAAGCCCUUGUAGUAGUAAGUCUUUCCUCCCCGACGGUCUACACCAGGUAUGAACUCGAUUUAAACGGGGAUCAGAGCAAAAAAGGCCCUUUUCCUUUUCUACUAUGCUUUGAGCCGCUUCCAGGAAUGGUAAGACUUGCCUUUGCCCUUACUCUAUUAAUAAGGAAAUUCCCUGGUGUUCACUCUAGUUCCUAACUCAUUUACGCUGUAGGCAUAGAGCUAUGGGAAUGCUUUCAUAGGCCUUUGCUCCGUCCCCCUUCUCGUUUGUUGUCUUCUUUCAAUAAUGCUUUGUUGGUCACCGCUGCGAGGCAUCGCCUGUUGUACAGUUGCUUUAGCCCGUUCACUCCUUUUUUCUUUCCCUUGAGAAUGAAAAGUCCUCAUCCUCACCCGCAACAAGCACUUUUUCUUUGUUUGUUCUUUGUGCGAGUUCAGUGCUUCUCUGAUUCAUAGUGGGACCCGCUGUUCAUUAAUAGGGGUUAUUCCCUUUCUAUCUAUUAGGAACUGCUUGUAGAAGAAAGAAGAUUAGGCAGUUUCUAUCAAAAACCAAAAAGUCCUAAAAUCUAAAUGAAGUGAUACAUUUGCACUAAUAGGUUGAACUACAUUGAUUAACAACAAAAAUGGACAAUAACAAAAAUAAUAACAAAUUCCAAAAUGACCUAAAUUUUUAUUAUAUUGAGUCUUUUGCACUUAUUAGACGAACUACAUUGUUUUAGAAACAAAAUGGACUACAUAUAUUGAGUCUUUUGCACUUAUUCGACGAACUACAUUGAUUAAGAAACAAAAUGGACUAGAUAUGACCUAGACCCUUAACCCUUAACAAUAAACCCGAACCGCAAAACACUAAAGCCUAAAACCUAAAACCUAAAACCUAAAACCUAAAACCUAAAACCUAAACCCUAAUUCUUAAACCUAGUAAAGACCAAAAUGGCCUAAAAUAUUAAUGCAUUUUGACUUUUGUUCUUAAUGGACGAACUACAACGAAAAGACCUAGAAUACACCUAGUAAAUAAUAAAGUGACCUAAAAUCUAUAUCCAUUGAGAAUUAUGCUUUUAUUACAUGAACUACAUUGAUAAGAACCAAAAUGGACUGCAUAUGACCUAGACCCUUAACCCUUAACCAUAUACCCGAAACGCAAAACACUAAAUCCUAAACCCUAAACCAUAAACCAUAAACCUAACGAGAACCCUAAACCAUAAGCCAUAAACCCUAAACCCUAAACCUUAAACCCUAUACACUCAACCCUAAACUCUAAUCCCUAAAUCUAAAAAAGACAAAAAUGACCUAAAAUAUAAAUUCAUUUUGACUUUUGUACUUAUUGGACGAACUACAAUGAAUAAGAAAUAAACUGAACAAAAAGUAACAUAUCAAAAACCAAAAUAACCAAAAUCUAAAACCAUUUAGAUUGAUGUACUAAUUCGAAGAACUACAUUGAUUAAGAAGAGAAAUGGUCUAUAAUAGACCUAGAUCCUUAACCGUUAACCCUAAACCAUAAACACUAAAUUCUAAUCCCUUAACCUAGUAAAGACGAAAACGACCUAGAAAAUGAAUGCAUUGAGACUUUUCAACUUAUUGGACGAACUACAAUGAAUAAGAACUAAAAUGGACAAAAAGAAACAUAUCAAAAACCAAAAUAACCUAAAAUCUAAAUCUAAUGAGACUUAUGCACUUAUUCGACGAACUACAUUUAUUAAGAACCAAAAGGAACUAGAAUAGACCUAGACCCUUAACCCUUAAUCUUAAAUCCUAAAUCCCAAACCCUAAACCCUAAAAUGAAUAAAAACUAAAACGGAAAAAAAGAAAUAUAUCAAAAACCAAAACAUCGUAAAAUCUAAAUCAAGUGACACUUUUGCACUAAUAGGUUGAACUACAUUGAUUAACAACUGAAAUGGACAACAACAAAAAUAUAACAAAUUCCACAAUGACGUAAAAUUUUAAUAUAUUGAAUCUUUUGCACUUAUUAGACGAAUUACACUGUUUUAGAAACAAAAUGGACUAGAUUCCACCUAGUAAACAACAAAAUGACCUAAAAUCUAUAUCCAUUGAGAAUUUUGCUUUUAAUUAUAUCAUGAAAUAUAUUGGUUAAAACCAAAAUGGACUAGAAUAGACCUAGGUCCUUAAACCAUAGAACCUAAACCCUAAACCCUAAUCCCUUAACCUAGUACAGACCAAAAUAACCUAAAAUAUUAAUUUACUGAGACUUUUGACAUAUUGGACAGACUACAUAUAUAAGAACUAAAAUAGACAGAAAGAAACAUAACGAAAACAAAAAUGACCUAAAAUCAAAAUCUAGUAACACUUUUGCACUUAUUCGACGAACUACAUUGAUUAAGAAAAAAAAUGUACUAGAUAUGACCUAGACCCUUAACCCUAAAACAUAAACCCGAAACGCAAAACACUAAAUCGUAAAGCCUAAACCUUAAACCUUAAACCUUAAACCUUAAACCUUAAACCCUAAACCAUAAACCAUAAACCAUAAACCACAAACCAUAAACCAUAAACCAUAAACAAAAAACCAUAAACCAUAAACCCUAAACCCUAAACCCUAGACCCUAAACUCUAUACCCUAAACCCUAAAACCUAAAACCAAAAUCCUAAAACCAAACACUGAAGACCUAAAUCCUAAAACCUAAACUCUAAUUCCUAAACCUAUAAAAGACCAAAUUGACCUAAAAUAUUAAUGCAUUUUGACUUUUGUACUUAUUGGACGAACUACAAUGAAUAAGAAAUAAAUUGAACAAAAAGAAACAUAUCAAAAACCAAAAUAACCAAAAUCUAAAACCAGUUAGAUUGAUGUACUAAUUCGACGAACUACAUUGAUUAAGAAGAGAAAUGGUCUAUAAUAGACCUAGAUCCUUAAUCGUUAACCCUAAACCUUAAACCAUAAACACUAAACCCUAAUCCCUUAACCUAGUAAAGAGGAAAAUGACCUAGAAUAUUAAUGCAUUGAGACUUUUCAACUUAUUGGAUGAACUACAAUGAAUAAGAACUCAAAUGGACAAAAAGAAACAUAACAAAAACCAAAAUAACCUAAAAUCUAAAUCCAAUGAGACUUAUGCACUUAUUCGACGAACUAUAUUUAUUAAGAACCAAAAUGAACUAGAAUAGACCUAGACCCUUAACCCUUCAUCUUAAAUUCUAAAUCCCAAACCCUAAACACAGAAAUGAAUAAGCACUAAACCCUAGACCCUUAACCCUAAACAAUAAACCCGAAACGCAAAACACUAAAUCCUAAAGCCAAAACCCUAAAACCAAACACUGAAGACCUAAAUCCAAAAACCUAAACUCUAAUUCCUAAACCUAAAAAAGACCAAAAUGACCUAAAAUAUUAAUGCAUUUUGACUUUUGUACUUAUUGGACGAACUUUAAUGAAUAAGAAAUAAAUUGUACAAAAAGAAACAUAUCAAAAACCAAAAUAACCAAAAUCUAAAACCAGUUAGAUUGAUGCACUAAUUCGACGAAAUACAUUGAUUGAGAAAAAAAAAUGGUCUAUAAUAGACCUAGAUCCUUAAUCGUUAACCCCAAACUAGAAACCAUAAACACUAAACCCUGAUCCCUUAACCUAGUAAAGACGAAAAUGACCUAGAAUAUUAAUGCAUUGAGACUUUUCAACUUAUUGGACGAACUACAAUGAAUAAGAACUAAAAUGGACAAAAAGAAACAUAUCAAAAACAAAAAUAACCUAAAAACUAAAUCUAAUGAGACUUAUGCACUUAUUCGACGAACUACAUUUAUUAAGAACCAAAAUGAACUAGAAUAGACCUAGACCCUUAACCCUUAAUCUUAAAUCCUAAAUCCCAAACCCUAAACCCUAAAAUGAAUAAAAACUAAAACGCAAAAAAAGAAACAUAUCCAAAACCAAAACGUCCUAAAAUCUAAAUCAAGUGAUACUUUUGCACUAAUAGGUUGAAUUACAUUGAUUAACAACUAAAAUGGACAACAACAAAAAUAAUAAUUGAUUCCAAGAUGACCUAAAUUUUUAAUAUAUUGAGUCUUUUGCACUUAUUAGACGAACUAAAUUUGUUUAGAAACAAAAUGGACUAGAUAUAUUGAGUCUUUCGCACUUAUUCGAGAACUACAUUGAUUAAGAAACAAAAUGGACUAGAUAUGACCUAGACCCUUAACCCGUAACAAUAAACCCGAACCGCAAAACACUAAAGCCUAAACCCUAAACCCUAAACCCUAAACCCUAAAACCUAAAACCUAAAACCUAAAACCUAAAACCUAAAACCUAAAACUUAAAACCUAAACCCUAAUUCUUAAACCUAGUAAAGACCAAAAUAACCAAAAAUAUUAAUGCAUUUUGACUUUUGUUCUUAUUGGACGAACUAUAAUGAAAAGACCUAGAAUACACCUAGUAAAUAAUAAAGUGACCUAAAAUCUAUAUCCAUUGAGAAUUAUGCUUUUAUUACAUGAACUACAUUGAUUAAGAACCAAAAUGGACUACAUAUGACCUACACCCUUAACCCUUAACAAUAUACCCAAAACGCAAAACACUAAAUCUUAAACCCUAAACCCUAAAUCCAAACCAUAAACCUAAUGAGAACCCUAAACCCUAUACCCUCAACCCUAAAACCUAAAACCUAAACCCUAAUUCUUAAACCUAGUAAAGACCAAAAUGACCUAAAAUAUUAAUGCAUUUUGACUUUUGUUUUUAUUGGACGAACUACAAUGAAAAGACCUAGAAUACACCUAGUAAAUAAUAAAGUGACCUAAAAUGUAUAUCCAUUGAGAAUUAUGCUUUUAUUACAUGUACUACAUUAAUAAAAAACCAAAAUGGACUACAUAUGACCUAGACCCUUAACCAUAUACACGAAAUAAUGAUUCUUUGGCCAGGUUUGCUUUUCCAACCCUCGAGUUUAAGACAUCUCAUUAGGUCCCAAAGAGACCAGACCUUGGGAAGGCAUCACUUAUGCUAGAAGGCUUCACAGCCCUCCUUACUAGCAGCCCAGAUCUGUUUUGUGCUCGGCUUGAUGCCAUCUCAGAUGUCCAUUCAAGUAGCCUGCCUACCCUAUUUUAUCUUAGAGAGGGGGCCUAGCGUGCCCAUUAUUUUGCUACAACUACUGUGAUUUCCACUGCUGCUCCUUCUUUUGCUACCUUGCGGAAGUCUUACUGCAAAUGUCCUAAGCCCCUAAGGCCUAAGCGGGGAAGGAGGAAGAAUAGUGUUCUAGUGCCCUAUUUGUCUAAUAUCGAAUAUACCCCCAAGAAUUCGUAUUCGUAGUGUCCGAUUCCAUUCCUGACUAGCAGACAGAAAGAAAUAAUUCCUCCUGCUCUACGAUUAACUGUUCCGUUUAAGGGAUUAAGGCAGUGAACUCGUUAGGACAGCCAGAAGGGCAGAGCUCUAUGUUCUAUUGAAAGCUGUCUCAAAAGAGCAUCAAAUCCUGAAAGCAGGACUUAAAGUCCAUGUGUUGCGCAUGAUUAGGGAUUAGACUUAGGGCAAGAAGGGCUUAAAGCCCUAAGUAAAGGAACUUCAUUUCUCGCCGAUUGUACGUCCUUUCAAUUUCAACUGAUUUUUGACAUGAAACUGAAUGCACUCGUUAGGUUCAACCUGGGGCUGAGAAAGAGCUUGUGAGUGAGGAAUGGGGCUCUCUAUGAACAGAAUCCGAAGCUAUCUUGCUUUAAUCUAGCUACUCCCAAACUAAGGAAUUUUGCACUGUAUACGGUAUGGCUACAAACCGAAGAAGUCGGAAGUAGUUCAUCGCCUGUGGGAGCUUGCUGAUAGUGAGGAAGCCAUAAUCUCUCUAUCGGAUUGCCUUUUGUCUAUCUGUCUGGUGAAGAGAGAAUGGAAGAGACUCUCAAUAGGGCAAGCACCCAAUACCUCGUCGAGUCCAAAGCUCCUGCUCAAGCAGUUCAAUCCAAUUGAAUUGAGUACCUACGACUGUGGAGUGCUUCUUAUAUGUUCGUAAAAUAGGAACUCAAAGUAAAAACUAGACUUUGUCUUGCACACUGACUUCAAUCGUAUAGAGAUUUCCCACUGUCUGUGUCGAUACCAGAAACUACGACUGAAACCUACACCGCUAACGAAGUUAAAGUGAUUGCCUACUUUCUAUGUCCGGAGACGCUUACUGCACUGCUUCUUCUGUCAAGACAGGCAGGCGGUUAUCAGGAUGUAGUCAAGGAGGUAGGCUUAGAGCCAGCAAUAAAGCUAGCAAAGUCUACCGCGAGCGAGUAGCCUUUGCCAAAGAAGGGACAUGCUUACUUCAUCUUUACUGAAUGCAUACACAAUUAAUAACACAGGCUCGGUGGCAGAAGAUAAGGCCAACUCAGUAUUUUAGUAAAUAAGCACCUCUACUAAUGCGGGUGGGGUUCCAGAAGUGGACCUCGAUCCAACCGAAAAACAAUUGUGUGAAAAAUAAACUCUCUUUUGAAAAGUUAUGUUAGGUUCUUAGUAGCAAUAGAUGACCUUAUACCAAUCCCGAUCCAUUAGAUUUGUUUGGAAAAUAAACGAUAGACAAAAAAAAUCUCGGAAAUCAGGGGGUCAUUUUUGUGGAUAUUCUUCGCGCAAUGCACGAAGUUCCCGAGUCUCUGGCCGAUAUUCCCACUUUUUUUUUUUGUUAAAAUGGAGUCUCCCAGAAGGCUGGUUCGGUUUUCAACCCAGAAAGGGUAUGGGUCCAGCUCGUCCAUCCGAGAUAUAACCUGACUUUUGAGGUUAAUCAAAGUUAGAAUCUCAACUAUGGGGGGCUACCACACCCUCUUUUUAGAGGCAGCAAAGAUAAGUCUUGUAUUGAUCUUCUCAAAGACUUCCCCCAAUGGCCCUUCUGGAACUUGCCCAGGCUGCGCAGCCUCUAGUUGAGGUGCGGGCUCUCCUCCGGGCUGUUCCAAGUCGCUAAAGAUAGACUCGCCGCUUAUGCCUGGGGAAUUUCUUUCGAGCGUGUAAGACCCAUAGUUUUUAAAUCCUAAAUUAUGCAAUUUUAGGGUAUUUUGUGUGGAAUUUCUUAGGCUGUUAGCCCAGUUUUUGGUAUUGAGUGAGUUAAAUGCCAAUUUUAGGGUAUUUUGUCGUGGUAAUUAUGUUGGAAUUGCUAUGUGUUAUGUAUUGAUUAUCGUGUGUAAGUGUGAUGGAUUGUAAAACUAUUUCGAAACCCAAUUUGUCGUGGUGAUUGUGUGGGAAUUGCUAAGUAUUAAGAUUUGGAGUUGUGUAUGAAUAUGAUUGAAUUAGUUUAUGUAUUUUUGGAAGGAUAAGCAGGGAAAUCGAUUUCCAAUCGAUUUGGGAAGUUACAGGGGCUCAACUAUUUAUAAAAUCGAUUUCCCAAUCGAUUUGGCCAUUCAGGAAUUCAGCAAAACUGACACAAAUCGAUUUGGAAAUCGAUUGGCAUUUAAGUCAGGGGCUCAGCUAUCCUGUCAAUCGAUUGCCCAAUCGAUUGCCCAAUCAAUUGAAUUACGCCCAGAAUUCAAAUUUCACUAAAACCCUUCAGGAAAUCGAUUUGGAAAUCGAUUGGCUUAGUAGAAAUUCUUAUUUUGAGUUAGAUAACAGAUUGCUCAAUUGAUUUAUCAAUGUCUUGGUGAGUUAUGUAUUACUUGAUGGAUUGAGAACUUUAUUUUGAUUUUAUUUUUAUUUGGCAAGUGUUAUAUGAACUUUUAGCAUAUGGAAAACCCUUUUAAGGUGCAUGCUAAGUGGAAAGGUUAUUUGUGCAUUUGAAAACUUAAAUGUUAUGUGUUAACUGUUAAUUUCGGUUGGUGACCCUUUACAACUAUAGUGGAAAUCUGGGCUUUGCCCUCAGAUGAGAGCCAGGACGAUCCUACCGGUUCGUACCCUACGGAUGGGAAUGUAGAUGGGAAUGCCUGACUGGAGCUAUGUUAGGAAGAUCUUACAGGGCGCGUGGAGAUCACUCAGGGUGUUUAGUUUGUUUUGGAGAAUGAUCAGAUUAGGUUGACAUAGAGGGAACAGGCGUCUUUCUUUUGGAUUACGUUAUUUUUAACUGGAAAACUGUACCCUUACUAAUAUUGUCAGCUUGACAUGUUAUUUUCGAUGGGUUACAUGUACCACUUUUUGAUGUGUAAAUAUUUUGGAUUCAUAUUUUGAGAAACUUUUCCGCUGCUUGUGAAUUAUAAUGACUCAAUUAUUUAUCCAAAGGUAUUACCUUGUUUAUUUAUCUGUUUUAUUUUAAUUUCUUUUGAAAAAAAAAAUACACCCUCCCUUUGAAAAUUUGGGUGUUACAGAGCGCACCAGGAAGCCGCUGCCCGACUCCCUGAGAAGGCUGCGAAUUUAUUUCUUCCCGGAACCCCAGAGAGAGCAACAUCGAAGCCAAGGCCAGCCAAAGCCCAAAGGAAGACCCACUUGAGUAUAAUGUUAAUGAAAAAAGUGAGAAAGCGGGUUUCGUCUCAUUUUCCGGAAAGCCAGUCAUACUAUUCCACUUUAGCUAAGCUCAUGAUGAAACAUGAUCUGGAUUUGUCUGCAGAUGAUGUUUUCCACUCCUGGCUCGAUGUGCUUAACGAAAGGGAAUGAAGUCUCUAGAUUAAUUAAGAAAUAAUUUCCUUCGUCAUUAAGCAGCAUCCUUUAAGUGAGUAGGGGUGCGUCGGACCGUCGACGAAUAAUAGGUACCCCCACACCCCAGGCAGAGUUAGUGAGUCGUGUAAUAGGCGACCAUUUCGCGCGGUUCGGGGGGCACAUGAGUCAGCCGCCGGAUCCCAAUUGCGUCUUGACCCUUAUCCAAUUUUUGGGCCAAUUCCCCCUUCGUACUACCAAAAAAUGAGAUUCUUGCCGAAUUCGAGUUUGCUGCUCCAACCAUUACCAAACUUAUACCUAUUAUGUUUAGUAUUUCAGGUGCUUCUGUUGCGUAUAAUGUAAAUCCCGUAGCGGCUCAAUUCCAACGAGCCUUUCAAACAAGUACUUUUUGUAAUCGACUCUAUAGCUUCUUCAAUAAACGCUGGUUCUUCGAUCAAGUUUUGAAUGACUUUCUAGUCAAAUCGUUCCUGCGUUUUGGAUAUGAAGUAUCAUUCGAAGCUUUAGACAAAGGUGCUAUUGAGAUAUUGGGCCCUUAUGGUAUAUCGUACACAUUUCGACGAUUGGCCGAGCGGAUAAGUCAACUUCAAAGUGGAUUUGUUGUGCGAAGAGUGCGUUAUGACCCGUGGCCGCCUGCCUGGUCUGGUGGGGUCCUCCGUUGUGGGUAAACGGGAAACCCGACUCUACGAACCCGAGGAAAGGCUGCACAGCAGUAGUAGGGGCGUGAAGACCGGAGCUUUUUGUAGUGCUAGCAGGAAUGCAAGUGAAUGAAUCCCAUCCCCUAGCGAGUGAAGUGCUUACGCCCCUUUAGAUUAGAGAUAGGGGCGCGCUAGCGUUAUAAUAAUAAAAGGUUAGGGGGCUGAGAAAAGCUUGCUGUCUACUUCUCUUCACUGCCCCGUUCUGUAACUUCCCUUCUUUAGUCCGUCCACGAGGCUAUAAAAAGAGAGAGAGGGGCGGCUAUAUAGCGGGAGUCGUUUCGGUUGUAUGCCACGAGGUCCCUAUGGACAAGGGGACAAGUGAAUCAUCGCUUUUGGGCGCAGGCAGCCCUCUACCAUCCAUCCCAUAGCAUUCCAUCGUCUCGUAUUGUACUGUACCGUACCAGAUACAUCUAUUGAGUGAGAGAAAGGUAGCUUCUCUAUACAUAUAUUAUUAUUUUUUGAUAUUGAUAGGGAUCCCCAGAUUCCCGUCACUACGGAUUUAUUGUCUCUACCUAACUACAUGGUAGUGGUCUAGGGAGCGCAAUUGCUAGAGCACGGGAGAAUGAAGAGUAAUGAUUUCAGCAAGAGCAGCCGGACGGACUACUAUAGUGAGUCCAGUGACUACUAGAGUAGAGUUGAGUCAAAAGGUACGGUAUAACAGCCUUUCCAAGCGAGCCUCUGGGAUCUCCUAUAAACCCCCAUGAUGUGGGGGAGGAUAUUAGGGGAAACAGUGAGUGGAGAUUCCCCUGCAGAGAGCCGGAUGAGGGGAGACCUUCACGUCCGGUUCGAAGGGCGGAGAUAUCCCGACCCUACUAUCAUUAUGCCUUUGCAAUGUUACUUGGUUCAACUCUAUUUGUGACCUUUUAUCGUAUGUGGGACUCUCUAUUUUCUUGGGUAGAUAAUCGAUCAUCUUUCCUUUUGAUAGUUAGUAGUAUUUAUUAUUAUAAGUCAAUAAAUAAUAAUAAAUAAUAAUCGAACUGGAGGAGCUAAAAGCCGAGAUGGCUUGGCAAGCAAGCUACCUGUUAUGUAGGCGCCAACUCCCAUUUCUUUCUCUUCUUUCUUUUUGAAAGUCACGAUCAGAAUGAAAGGUAGUUCGUUGGGCCUGUAUUUUGAUCCCAG
rnacentral:lncRNA from 1 species